rnacentral:tRNA from 1 species
GCCUUGGUGGCUCAGUCGGUUGAGCAUCUGACUUUGGCUCAGGUCAUGAUCUUGCGGUUCAUGAGUUUAAACCCCACUUCAGGCU